rnacentral:rRNA from 1 species
CGAAGCGAAGCAGUGAUGUGAAGCAAAUCGCACCAAAGCCAGUCCCAGUUCGGAUAAGAGGCUGAAACUCGCCUCUUUGAAGUCGGAAUCGCUAGUAAUCGCAGAUCAGCAUGUUGCGGUGAAUACGUUCCCGGGUCUUGUACACACCGCCCGUCAAACCAUGAGAGUCACCAACACCCGAAGUCCGCCUUGGCGGCCUAAGGUGGGGGAGAUGAUUGGGGUUAAGUCGUAACAAGGUAAC